UACCAGCUCUCCGAGUGGUAGGGAUGAUUAUUGGGCUUAAAGCGUCCGUAGCCGGCUUAGCAAGUUUCCUGUUAAAUUCAGCGACCUAAUCGUUGAGCCGCGGGAAAUACUACUAGGCUAGGAGGCGGGAGAGGUCGACGGUACUUCUGGGGUAGGGGUGAAAUCCUAUAAUCCCGGGAGGACCACCAGUGGCGAAGGCUGUCGACUAGAACGCGCUCGACGGUGAGGGACGAAAGCUGGGGGAGCGAACCGGAUUAGAUACCCGGGUAGUCCCAGCUGUAAACGAUGCGGGCUAGGUGUUGGGGUGGCUACGUGCCACUUCAGUGCCGCAGGGAAGCCAUUAAGCCCGCCGCCUGGGGAGCACGGCCGCAAGGCUGAAACUUAAAGGAAUUAGCGGGGGAGCACAGCAACGGGAGGAGCGUGCGGUUU
rnacentral:rRNA from 1 species